AAUCAAGUGGAGGACAAGUCUGGUGCCAGCACCCGCGGUAAUUCCAGCUCCACUAGCGUAUAUUAAAGUUGUUGCAGUUAAAAAGCUCGUAGUUGAACCUCUGUCUGGGGCUAGUUUUGGCUUUGGUCAGGCUAGUUCUAGGCAUCCGCCUACAAGACUUAGAGGGCAUUCAGUUGUUCACUAGGAGGAGUAGGCAUUUUACUUUGAAAAAAUUAGAGUGUUUAAGGCAGGCAAUCGCCCGCAUAUAUUAGCAUGGAAUAAUAGAAUAGGACACUUUUCCAUUUCGUUGGUUAUUGGAAUCGUGUAAUGAUUAAUAGGGACAGUUGUGGGCAUUUGUAUUUAAUUGUCAGAGGUGAAAUUCUUGGAUUUAUUAAAGACAAACUAACGCGAAAGCAUUUGCCAAGGAUGUUUUCAUUAAUCAAGAACGAAAGUUAGGGGAUCAAAGACGAUCAGAUACCGUCCUAGUCUUAACUAUAAACUAUUCCGACUCAAUGUUUGACUGGCUUAUAUAACCAGUUGAGCGUUGUAUGAGAAAUCAAAGUCUUUAGGUUCUGGGGGAGUAUGGUUGCAAAGCUGAAACUUAAAGGAAUUGACGGAAGAGCACAACCAGGAGUGGAUUCUGCGGCUUAAUUUGACUCAACACGGGGAAACUUACCAGGUUAAAACAAUAGUGGGAUUGACAGUUUGAGAGCGCUUUCUUGAUUGGUUGGGUGGUGGUGCAUGGCCGUUCUUAGUUGGUGGAGUGAUUUGUCUGCUUAAUUGCGUUAACGAACGAGACCUUAACCUGCUUACUAGACUGGCGAUCAUCAAUCGUUAGCUCUUCCUAGAGGGACUUUGGUUGUUUUAACUCCAAGGAAGUUUGAGGCAAUAACAGGUCUGUGAUGCCCUUAGAUAUCCUGGGCCGCACGCGUCAUACAAUGACUAGUUCAGAAAGUUUUCUCCUGACCCGAAAGGGGAUGGGUAAUCUUGAUAAUACUAGUCGUGUUAGGGAUCGAUCUUUGCAAUUAUAGAUCUUGAACGAGGAAUUCCUAGUAAGUGCGGUUCAUCAGACCGUACUGAUUACGUCCCUGCUCUUUGUACACACCGCCCGUCGCUUCUACCGAGUGGGUGGUCCGGUGAGAUAAUUGAACUUCGCAGGUAACUGAGAGGAAAGAUUAUCAAACCUAUCCACCU
rnacentral:rRNA from 1 species